rnacentral:rRNA from 1 species
AUUGAACGCUGGCGGCAGGCCUAACACAUGCAAGUCGAACGCGUGGCGGACGGGUGAGUAAUGUCUGGGCAACUGCCUGAUGGAGGGGGAUAACUACUGUAAACGGUAGCUAAUACCGCAUAACACCGGUUGUGCCCCGAUGGGAUUAGCUAGUCGGUGGGGUAACGGCUCACCUAGGCGACGAUCCCUAGCGGGUCUGAGAGGAUGACCAGCCACACUGGAACUGAGACACGGUCCAGACUCGUACGGGAGGCAGCAGUGGGGAAUAUUGCACAAUGGGCGCAAGCCUGAUGCAGCCAUGCCGCGUGUAUGAAGAAGGCCUUCGGGUUGUAAAGUACUUUCAGCGAGGAGGCGUUACUCGCAGAAGAAGCACCGGCUAACUCCGUGCCAGCAGCCGCGGUAAUUC